AAAUAAAACUGGGCCUUUAUUAAAACUAGCUCCUUUAAAACAACUAAAAAUUACACAAAUACACAACUUAUGUUUCCAAUAUUACAAAAAUCCUAACUCCAUAAACAUAUUACAAAAAUCUCAACAUAUACACAGAAUGUUACGUAUAUGUCGGCUAUGUUAUGUAUAUUAAUAGGGAGAGAAGGUAAAUUAAAAAAGUGGGAGAGAGUAAUUACUUCCAAAAGGGUUGUUAUUUAUGUUAUUUAUACUUAAACAAUUAGCUGAGCUUUUCUUUUGGCCCAUUAAGAGCCCAUUUCUUUUAAAAAACAAACCCUUCUCCAUGACACGUAUUGGUGGGCCCUUGCCAGCUAUUUUAUUUGAAAUGGGUACCUGAACUGAAGAACCCACGUGCCUCUCUCUAUCAAAGCAGAACCUAUUCUCUUUAACUGUGUAGGGUUUUUUGCCCGGUGGUCCUUAACCUGCAGAACUUCCUCCUCUCCGGCGACCACCAUAGUUCUAGACUCGCUCCAUAUCGGAAUUAAAAAAGUAAGACCAUUGUCGACUAUCUUUACCUCUUUUGGAACUUCUUUUCCAUCUCCUUUGAUUCUCAUUCGCGCCCACUUCAAAUGGUGGUUUUUCAGGGAUGCCUCUUCCUCUGUUUCCAACCAUCCUCCACAAUGAUCUCCGAUGCUUUGAACAUUUUUUUGGUCCAAAACUGAAGAGGAAGACCUACUGCUCUUAUCCACGUUGAGGCCUCUCGAUUGGUGCGACAGCCUACUGUCGGCGACCACUAUUCGAGAUGACUCUUCGUUUGCUUCCAUGCCCACUGACUUUGAAGAAUAUGCUCGGCCAUAUGCUUGUUUGGAAACUCAAACAGAAAAGAACAGCCCCCCAUUUCGUAUACAUUAAUCCCAAAAGCAUUCUUCCAAGUACUCACCUCCCACUUCCUAAUAUCUGACAGUGUUGGUUUCUCCUUCUCUUCUCCACUGAAGCUUCCAACAAUACAUCUUCCCCGCAAGCCAUUUUCUUUUUCCUGGUUAACAUCACCGCCAGAGAUGAUGAUAGAGAUGUUGUUGUUGCUGACCAGAGAUUCAGAGGCUUCUUUUGAUUGCCAUUUGCUAGUCCUGAAUGAAUCUGCACAAGGAACCUUUGGAUCAAUCCUCCUAGCAAUAUUUGUAUUAAAUGUUCCUUUAUGUUUUUUGGCGAAUUAUCAAUCUUAAAUGCUAUGUCUCCCCAUCCUGCAUUAAAUGUAACUUCUGGGAUAAUAAUGACCGAUCUGUUCCCUCCUUGUACUGUCACUAUGCUUAUAAAUCUUCCAAAUUUGUUGUGUUUUCUGGAACAAAAGAAAUUUGAAUAUUGUUCAUUUGUUUUCCACCUUCUCGUAUGGUUGCUAGAGUCUUUUGAGGCUUCUCGUAAUACAAAGACUAUCCAUUCCAUUGUUUUCUUGCUGAAAGUUGUUCUGCGCAUCAGAUUCCGGCUUCUUUCAACCCAUUCAAACCAAAUUUCAGCUCUGGCUGCAAGCCUGGUGAUAUCGUAAGACUUAAAACCAACUGCGAAGUAGAUUCUAUUUUCCCCCAUAAAAGCUGCGCUGUUUUUAAAUAAUCACUGAGAGCUAGUUAAGAUUAGCAAAACGAACGGAAAAGGACGCCGGAAUAAAACUUCAGAUCACCUGAGGAAAAGAGUUACCCCCUCCCCCUCGAGAAAUGUACUUGAACAUCUACUGGAAUCUGACUCUGGAAUAUUAAAAGAAGUAUUGAGCCAUCUGACUCUGGAAUAGACCCCAAAGCAACCAAAAAAAACCCAUAGUUUCUCAGGAACGGGUAAAUAUAAACUGGUUCAUUCCUUUUCAAUAAAGAAAGAAUCAGGUUUAUUAAAUCUUUUUUGUGUUCAACAGCCAAUAUUUCAACAGAUAAAUGGCAGGCUCCAGUCAACAGUCGAAAUGAUAAAAACUUGACAA
rnacentral:lncRNA from 1 species